UUGGGUAGAUGACUGGGCCUGUAAGGGUGGAUUCACUCGUUCAUGCACAGAUGCCUCCCCUUCCCUGCCACGCCCACGUGACGCUGGGCGGGACACAUUGGUUCAGCUGGGAGCAUUUAAAUUCCCCUCACUUGGUGUCUAGCUGUCUCUCUGGCAACACCUUCAUAUGCAAGCUCUUACUUAUGCUUGGCUCCUUAACUCCAUGUGAUCCAACAAGAAGUGUCGGCCCACUGUCUUCCACAUGCACACAUUGGGGAAUCCACAGUGCUCCCUGUUUGUCCACAUGUCCCUACCUCAGCUCCCAUGCCAGACAAUCUUAACGGCUCUGGUCCCGUGCUCACAUCUAUACAGUUGACAUCACCACUGCAUUCGCCCCUGAAGAGUUGGUAUAUCCCAAUGAAACGCGUCGGGAAUACAUAGAUGCAUGAUGUUCAUACAGAUGAUUUUAUGUUUUUUAUACUGUUUUACUCCCAGAUUCUCAUUAUACUAUCAAGCCCCUCCAGUGGUUCAUUUUGUGCAGGACUUGUCCUUACUCCACGAUAUGCCAAGUACCAUGGUGUUAUU